GAUGAACGCUGGCGGCGUGCCUAAUACAUGCAAGUCGAGCGAACAGAUAAGGCUCUUGCUCCUUUCACGUUUGCGGCGCACGUGUGUGUAACACGUGUGUAACCUACCUAUAAGACUGGUAUAACUCCGGGAAACCGGCUCUAAUGCCGUAUAACAUUUAGAACCGCAUGGUUCUUAAGUGAAUUUUGGUUUUUCUAUCUCUUAUAGAUGGAUCCGCGCCGUAUUAGCUAGUUGUUACGUUAACUGCUUACCAAGGCAACGCUGCGUAGCCGAUGUGAGAGGGUGCUCGGCCACACUGGAACUGAGACACGGUCCAGACUCCUACGGGAGGGAGCAGUAGGGAAUCUUCCGCAAUGGGCGAAAGCAUGACGGAGCAAGGCCACGUGAGAGAUGAAGGUCUUGGGAUCGUAAAAAUCUGUUAUUAGGGAAGAACAAAUGUGUAAGUAAAUGAGCAGGGAUUGACGGUAACUAAUAAGAAAGCAACGGCUAACUACGUG
rnacentral:rRNA from 1 species